UGGGGAAUUUUGGACAAUGGGCGCAAGCCUGAUCCAGCAAUGCCGCGUGCAGGAAGAAGGCCUUCGGGUUGUAAACUGCUUUUGUCAGGGAAGAAAUCCUCUGGGUUAAUACCUCGGGGGGAUGACGGUACCUGAAGAAUAAGCACCGGCUAACUACGUG
rnacentral:rRNA from 2 species